rnacentral:snRNA from 1 species
UUCUUUGCGCAGUGGCAGUAUUGUAGCCAAUGAGGUUUAUCUGAGGCGUGAUUAUUGCUAAUUGGAAACUUUUCCCAAGAGAAUUUCCAUUCACUGGUCUCUAGAGGAGCACACUUUGGUACUGUGAAGGCAUG